CCGCGAACCCCUGGCGUUCAGCAGUUUACUCCUAGACGCUCGCCCAACGCCAGGUCCCAGUCCGCCGCUAGGAGGCACCCGCAGGGGCGUGCAGGAACUCGGCUGUGGCGAAAACAACGCUGUGCUUGAGUUAGCUCUUCCAGGCGGGCUCUAGGACAGUGAAUGCCAACCCAGGACAAGGAAGCCGCUUUACUACGUUCCAUUUUCAAGGCCUGAAGAGGUUCUCUGUAUGACAUACAGUUUUCCAGUUAGUGCUUGUGUAUUUCAAUCACUUAUUUAUUCGUUGAACAUAUGCAUUACGGGGGAGCAUCUUGGUUUUAGCAGCUUUGUGUGGAUGGUAUGGGUAUCCGAAGAUGUUUGAAAGAAAUCAUUGGCAACAGUUUGUGCUGGGGAUGAUGAUCGCAGUGGGGAUCUAGAGAGCUUAUGAGUCCCCUGAUGAAAAGCUGGAAACAUCCCGAGUGGGAAAUCAAAACAACCAGACGUGUGGACAAAGGACACCAUCUCCAGACUGGACUGAAUGUCUUACCGAGAAAGAGAAAUUUUAAAUCAAUACAUGAAAGUAUAAAUAUGAAAAGCACCGGAACAGUGACCUGCACAUCUCUGAAGAUCCUCUCCCCAGUGAAACAGCUCUACCUGAUAAAAACUAUUUUUAUUUUGUUUUGAAAUUUAUUUUUCGCUGUGAUGAGCUUUAUUUUUAAAAAUUAAAUGAUGAUGUAAUUUUUAGUUUCAAUAGACCUGGGGGUAGGAAUAGUUUUUGGCUCUGUGGAUGAAUUUUAGACUGCUAAAGUCUGAGAGUUUAGCGCACCCUUCACCGAGUAGUAUACACUGUACACAAUACGUAGUGUUUUUUAUCUCUCACUCCUUUUUCUGGCUUCUGAGUCUCCAAUGUCCAUUUACCACUCUGUAUGCCUUUGCGCACCCAUAGCGUAGCUCCCACUUAUGAGUGAGAACAUACGGUACUUGCUUUCUCAUUCCUGAAUGGCUUCACUUAAAAUAAUGGCCUCCUAGCUCCAUCCAAGUUGCUGCAAAAGACAUUAUUUUGUUCUUUUUUUUAUGGCUGAGGAGUAUUCCAUGGUGUAAAAAUACCACAUUUUCUUUAUCACUCAUCAGUUGAUGGCUACUUGGGUUAGUUCCAUAUCAUUGCAUUUGUGAACUGUGCUGCAAUAAACAUAUGUGUGUAAAUAUCUCUUUGAUAUGG
rnacentral:lncRNA from 13 species